rnacentral:rRNA from 1 species
UCAAGUGACUAAGUGCAUGUGGCGGAUGCCUUGGCGAUCACAGGCGAAGAAAGACGCGGCAGCCUGCGAAAAGCUGCGGGGAGCUGGCAAACGAGCUUUGAUCCGCAGAUAUCUGAAUGGGGGAACCCACACCGCAAGGUGUAUCCGUGACUGAAUACAUAGGUUACGGAGGCGAACGAGGAGAACUGAAACAUCUAAGUAUCCUCAGGAAAAGAAAUCAACCGAGAUUCCGGCAGUAGCGGCGAGCGAACCCGGAGGAGCCUAGCUUUUGAUAGUACGAACUUUAGCCGAAAGGUCCUGGAAAGGCCUGCUAUAGUGGGUGAUAGCCCCGUAGGCGAAAGAGUUCGUACGGUACUAAGGAAGCGAGAAGUAGAGCGGGACACGUGGAAUCCUGUUCGAAGAUGGGGGGACCAUCCUCCAAGGCUAAAUACUCGUGAUCGACCGAUAGUGAACCAGUACCGUGAGGGAAAGGCGAAAAGAACCCCGGGAGGGGAGUGAAAUAGAACCUGAAACCGCAUGCAUACAAACAGUAGGAGCCUCGUCAGAGGUGACUGCGUACCUUUUGCAUAAUGGGUCAGCGACUUACAUUCUGUGGCGAGCUUAACCGAAUAGGGGAGGCGCAGCGAAAGCGAGUUCGAAAUGAGCGUCCAGUCGCAGGGUGUAGACCCGAAACCAGAUGAGCUAUCCAUGGCCAGGUUGAAGGUGUGGUAACACACACUGGAGGACCGAACCGACUAGUGUUGCAAAAUUAGCGGAUGAGCUGUGGAUAGGGGUGAAAGGCCAAACAAAUCUGGAGAUAGCUGGUUCUCCCCGAAAACUAUUGAGGUAGUGCCUCGUGUGUCGCUCCAGGGGGUAGAGCACUGUUUUGGCUAGGGGGACAUGGAGUCUUACCAAACCAAGGCAAACUCCGAAUACCUGGAAGCGUAAGCACGGGAGACAGAGCACCGGGUGCUAACGUCCGGACUCAAAAGGGAAACAACCCAGACCGCCGGCUAAGGUCCCCAAUAACAGCUAAGUGGAAAACGAAGUGGAAAGGCCGUGACAACCAGGAAGUUGGCUUAGAAGCAGCCAUCCUUCAAAGAAAGCGUAAUAGCUCACUGGUCGAGUCCUUCUGCGCGGAAGAUGUAACGGGGCUAAGCUGUUAACCGAAGCCGCGGAUGCACUGGUUAUCCAGUGCGUGGUAGGGGAGCGUUCUGUAAGUCUGCGAAGGCGGUUCGAGAGGACUGCUGGAGAUAUCAGAAGUGCGAAUGCUGACAUGAGUAACGUUAAAGCAGGUGAAAAGCCUGCUCGCCGUAAGCCCAAGGAUUCCUGCUCUACGUUCAUCGGAGCAGGGUGAGUCGGCUCCUAAGGUCAGGCCGAAAGGCGUAGCCGAUGGGAAUCAGGUUAAUAUUCCUGAACCUGCGUCAGAUGCGAUGGGGGGACGGAGCAUGAAAGAUCAUCCGGGUGUUGGAUGUCCCGGUUGACGAGCGUAGGAGGUCUGCAGGCAAAUCCGCAGACGCAUCUCCAAGGCGAAGUCACGUGCCGCCACGGCGGCGAAGUGAUCGGAAGUGCUUCCAAGAAAAGCCUCUAAGCACCAGUCUGACGCGGACCGUACCGCAAACCGACACUGGUGGGCGAGCUGAAUAUGCUCAGGCGCUUGAGAGAACUCGGGAGAAGGAACUCGGCAAAUUGACACCGUAACUUCGGAAGAAGGUGUGCCGUAGUAGCGUGAGAGGAGAGACACCUUGAGCGUGAAUCGGUCUCAGAGAAUAGGUGGCUGCGACUGUUUAUUAAAAACACAGCACUCUGCAAAGUCGAAAGACGACGUAUAGGGUGUGAUGCCUGCCCGGUGCUGGAAGAUUAAUUGAUGGGGUGAGAGCCCUUGAUCGAAGUCCCAGUAAACGGCGGCCGUAACUAUAACGGUCCUAAGGUAGCGAAAUUCCUUGUCGGGUAAGUUCCGACCUGCACGA